rnacentral:rRNA from 1 species
AAUAGUUUUUUAAAUGGAAACUGGGAUGAAUGAAGUGAUGAGAUUUAAACUAUCUUAGAUUAAGUGGUUAAAUUUAUUAAUUAAGUAAAAAUACUUAGAUGAGAGUAUGGGACGAGAAGACCCUAUAGAAUUUUAUAUAAAUUUAAUAAAUGUAUUAAAUUAAAAAUUUAUUAGUUUUAUAUUUUGUUGGGAGGAUAGUUAAAUUAAAAAAACUUUAAAAAUAUGAUUCCAUAAAUAAAUGAGUUAAGAAAGUAAGAAUGAUUAAAAAAUUUAAGUAGAAUUAAUUACCUUAGGGAUAACAGCGUUAUAUCUUUAGAGAGAUCUUAUUGAUAAAGAUGUUUGC